UACCAGCUCUCCGAGUGGUGUGGAUGAUUAUUGGGCCUAAAGCAUCCGUAGCUGGCUAGGUCAGUCCUCUGUUAAAUCCACCGAAUCAAUCGUUGGAUUGCGGGGGAUACUGCUUGGCUAGGGGACGAGAGAGGCAGACGGUAUUUCCGGGGUAGGGGUGAAAUCCUAUAAUCCCGGGAAGACCACCAGUGGCGAAGGCUGUCUGCUAGAACGAGCCCGACGGUGAGGGAUGAAAGCUGGGGGAG
rnacentral:rRNA from 1 species